rnacentral:rRNA from 1 species
UAGAAUGAAUGGUUUGACGAACGUUAAGCUGUCUCUAUCUUAUUUUUUAAAAUUUAAUCUUCAAAGUGAUAAAGCUUAAAUUUUUUAAAGGGACGAGAACACCCUAUUGAGCUUAUAAUUUUAGGGUUGCUUAACAUUAGUUAUUUGGGGAGCAAUUUAUAAAUUUUUUUUGGGGGGAUUAAGGAAUAAAUACGAAAAUAAUAUAGUAACUUCCUUAGAUUGAAAUAUUGUUAAAUAAAGUAACCAAUGUUAUUAUUGCUUUUAUAAUAGUUACCAUAGGGAUAACAGCGUAAUCUGUUUAGAGAGUUCUUAUUGAAAAAUGGGAUUGCGACCUCCAUGUUGGAUUAAAGUAACCUCAGGGUGCAGAAGCUU